AAGGUUUAAUAUGGGGCUGGGGGGGCUGGGGACACGUGUGGGUGGGGGGGGAGAAGGAAGGGGAUGGAGUGUGUGUGUGUAAGUGUGCAAGGUGAGUGUGCAAGGGGAGAUUCCAUGGGAUCUAUGGGCUGUGAGCCAUGCAAUCCCAUUAGCUGCUCCUUUGUACCCCACCAUCAUCAUCCCAAACCCAAUAGCAAACAAUAGAGUGUGGUUUAGGGGGGUUUGUUGGUGCACAUAAGUGUGCAAGGCGAGUGUGCAAGGGGAGAUCUCUAUUGGGUUCUGGGUCACACAUAUCCAGGCAGCUCUAUUAGCUGCUCCUUUGUACCCCAUGGUUUGCAUCCCAAACCCAAUAGCAAACAAUAGACUGGGGUCUGGGGGGUUUGGUGCACAUAAGUGUGCAAGAUGAGUGUGCAGGGUGAGUGUGCAAGGAGACAUCUCCAUGGGAUCUAUGGACUGUGAGCCAUUGAGCUGUAGCAGGCUCCUUUGUACCCACCAUCAUCAUCCCAACCCAAUGGGAAACAAUGACUGGGGUCUAGGGUGUUGUGGUGCACAUAAGUGUGCAAGGGGAGUGUGCAAGGGGAGUUCUCCAUGGGGUCAGGGCACUCUUAACCAUGCAGCUCCAUUAGCUGCUCCUUUGUACCCCACCAUCAUCAUCCCAAACCCAAUGUCAAUGGAUAUACUGGGGUGUUGUUGUGCACAUAAGUGUGCAAGGCGAGUGUGCAAGGGAGAGACGUCCAAGGAUCUAUGGACUGUUAGCCAUGCAGUCCCAUUAGCUGCUCCUUUGUACCCCAUGAUCAGCAGCCCAAACCCAAUGGCAAAGGAUAGAGCGGGGUCUGGGGGGUUGUUGGUGCACAUAAGUGUGCAAGGUGAGUGUGCAAGGGAAGACGUCCAUGGGCACUCUUAACCAUGCAGCCCCAUUAGCAGCCCCUUUUAACUCCAUGGUUUGCAUCCCAAACCAAUGUCAAUGGAUAUACUGGGGUCUGGGGGGCUGUUGGUGCACAUAAGUGUGCAAGAGUGAGUGUGCAGGGUGAGUGUGCAAGGAGACAUCUCCAUGGGAUCUAUGGACUGUGAGCCAUUGAGCUGUAGCUCCUUUGUACCCCACCAUCAUCAUCCCAAACCCAAUGUCAAUGGAUAUACUGGGGUCUGGGGUGUUGUUGGUGCACAUAAGUGUGCAAGGUGAGUGUGCAAGGGAAGAAUGGGGUCUGGGCACACUUAACCAUACAGCCCCAUUAGCAGCUCCUUUGAACCCCACCAUCAUCAUCCCAAACCCAAUGGCAAUGGAUAUACUGGGGUCUGGGGGGGUUGUUGGUGCACAUAAGUGUGCAAGGCGAGUGUGCAAGGUGAGUGUGCAAGGAGACAUCUCCAUUGGGUUCUGGGUCACUCUUAUCCAGGCAGCUCCAUUAGCAGCUCCUUUGAACCCCAUGAUCAGCAUCCCAAACCCAAUGGGAAACAAUAGACUGGGGUCUAUGGGGGUUGUUGGUGCACAUAAGCGUGCAAACUGAGUGUGCAAGGUGAGUGUGCAAGGGGAAACAUCCAUGGGGUUGAGAGACUAUGAGCCAUUGAGCUGUAGCUCCUUUGUACCCCACUAUCAUCAUCCCAAACCCAAUGGCAAAGGAUAUACUGGGGUAUGGGGUGUUGUUGGUGCACAUAAGUGUGCAAGGCGAGUGUGCAAGGUGAGUGUGCAAGGGGAGCUCUCCAUGGGUUCUGGGUCACUCUUAUCCAGGCAGCUCCAUUAGCAGCUCCUUUGUACCCCAUGAUCAGCAUCCCAAACCCAAUAGCAACCAAUAGAGCGUGGUCUGGGGGUUUGUUGGUGCACAUAAGUGUGCAAGGUGAGUGUGCAAGGGAAGACGUCCAUGGGAUCUAUGGGCUGUUGGCCAUGCAAUCCCAUUAGCAGCUCCUUUGUA
ensembl:lncRNA